rnacentral:rRNA from 1 species
AAUAGAUACCCAGGUAGUCCACGCCGUAAACGAUGAGUGCUAAGUGUUAGGGGGUUUCCGCCCCUUAGUGCUGCAGCUAACGCAUUAAGCACUCCGCCUGGGGAGUACGGUCGCAAGACUGAAACUCAAAGGAAUUGACGGGGGCCCGCACAAGCGGUGGAGCAUGUGGUUUAAUUCGAAGCAACGCGAAAAACCUUACCAGGUCUUGACAUCCCACUGACCGCUAUGGAGACAUAGUUUUCCCUUCGGGGACAGUGGUGACAGGUGGUGCAUGGUUGUCGUCAGCUCGUGUCGUGAGAUGUUGGGUUAAGUCCCGCAACGAGCGCAACCCUUGAUCUUAGUUGCCAUCAUUUAGUUGGGCACUCUAAGGUGACUGCCGGUGACAAACCGGAGGAAGGUGGGGAUGACGUCAAAUCAUCAUGCCCCUUAUGACCUGGGCUACACACGUGCUACAAUGGACGGUACAAACGGUUGCCAACCCGCGAGGGGGAGCUAAUCCGAUAAAACCGUUCUCAGUUCGGAUUGUAGGCUGCAACUCGCCUACAU